CGAGCGACCUCGGAGAGAGCUACAGUGUGGGACCAGUUAAAAUCAAGCUCUUUUCAGUGAGUGAUAAAACUUGUAUACUACUUCCUCACAGGGGAUUAAGCUUUCAAAAUAUGACCUCUAAUCUUGAGAACUUGCCUUGUUUGCAGAUUGAAUGAGGACAUGAUGGAGACCCUUUUUGGCUGCAAUUCCACAAACUCAGUGCCCAGAGAACCUAUUAGAAGAUCAGUUUUGCCUCCUGUUGAACGGGAAAACAGAGUGUUGAAUCCAAAGAAGUCACAAAAUAUUGCCAUACUGUUGAGAGCACUGAGUGUAACUCGAGAUGAGGUGUCAGAAGCUCUUUUAGAUGGUAAGUCAUAUUUACAUUUUCUAUCAGUAAAUAAUAAGAUUCUUAUAUCUUAGAUAUCUUAGAUAUGAUGGAAAUUUUUUUGCAUCUUCUUUCUCUGUGGUUAAGGGGCUUUGAGGAUUUAAGAGCAUAAAAUUUGCUGGUUUUCACUUCCAUCUAAAUAUGCCAAAGAUAUUUGUACUCUUUUGAAAUUCAAUAUUUAAUCUUGAAAUUCAAAAUUUAAUCCAAAAUGUUGAAUCCCUAUGUAUACAUUUUUUAAUUUAAAAAUCUUGGUAGGAUGUGUGGAAUUCUGUUUAUUCACUUUUGAUAUUAUAAAAAUGGUAAAAUGACUCUUUUAAUCCUUAUGAUUUACAGUUUUUUUUGUCAAUUUGGUCCAACUCAUAAACAAUUAGAAAAGAAAUGGUUUUAACAAUUGAAUGUUUUUCCGUAUUUUCAAUAAAAAUAAUUAAAAAUUGUGAAAAAUUAAAAACUCUUUAAAAGUAAAAUAAAAUAAAAUAAUUUUAAAAAAGAGUAAUUUAUUUUUAAAUUACUCUUUUAAAAAAAAAUUUUCACAAUUUAUUAUUAUUUUUAUAUUUUUAUUGAAAAUAUGAAGAAAAAAAUAGUUUGUAAAACAUUUUUUUAAAUGUUUAUGUACUUUUAAAGAGUUUGGACCAAAUUGAUAAAAAAAACUGUAAAUCAUGAGGGCUAAAAGAGUUAUUCUACUUUUUUAAAACAGCCCAUCAUCAAUUGUAAUGGCAAGACCAAGAUUUUUAAAUAAAAAGAAGUACGGGACUCAAUGUCUCAAAAAUUGAAGUAUAGGGACUUAUAUUUAAAUUCCAUAAGAAACAUAGCAAUUGGCAACUUGCUGCUUGGUGUCUUUCUAAAAGCCAAUAUUGAGAUUGAAGUAAAUGAUAGUAAACCACGUUUUAGGUACCUGGUAUAAUUUGUUGAGCUCAAACACAUUGUCCUUCACCAUCACUUAAAACAUAUUCCUAGUUCCUCGAAUUUCGAACUCUGGGUUGCAUCUCCAAG
rnacentral:lncRNA from 1 species